AAUGGGGCCAACCCUGACGCAGCGACGCCGCGUGAGUGAGGAAGGCCUUCGGGUCGUAAAGCUCUGUCAAAGGGAAAGAAAUGUAUAAUGGCUAAUACCUGUUAUAUUUGACGGUACCCUUAAAGGAAGCACCGGCUAACUCCGUGCCAGCAGCCGCGGUAAUACGGAGGGUGCAAGCGUUGUUCGGAAUCCCUGGGCGUAAAGGGCGCGCAGGCGGUUUGAUAAGUCAGAUGUGAAAGCCCACGGCUUAACCGUGGAAGUGCAUUUGAAACUGCCAGACUUGAGUAUCAGAGGGGAAAGUGGAAUUCCCGGUGUAGAGGUGAAAUUCGUAGAUAUCGGGAGGAAUACCGGUGGCGAAGGCGACUUUCUGGCUGAAUACUGACGCUGAGGCGCGAAGGCGUGGGGAGCAAA
rnacentral:rRNA from 1 species